AACCCCCAGUUAGACUGGGGGUUCAGUUUAGCUUUAGCGGUGAUAAACAAACAAAAAAACCUCCCUAUUUGAUAUAAUAUAAUUGUAAUCUGUCAAUUGCAAUAUAAAAUCAAACAAGGGAG
rnacentral:sRNA from 1 species